rnacentral:rRNA from 1 species
UACGAAGGGGGCUAGCGUUGCUCGGAAUCACUGGGCGUAAAGGGUGCGUAGGCGGGUCUUUAAGUCAGGGGUGAAAUCCUGGAGCUCAACUCCAGAACUGCCUUUGAUACUGAAGAUCUUGAGUUCGGGAGAGGUGAGUGGAACUGCGAGUGUAGAGGUGAAAUUCGUAGAUAUUCGCAAGAACACCAGUGGCGAAGGAGGCUCACGGGCCCGAUACUGACGCUGAGGCACGAAAGCGUGGGGAGCAAAAAGG